rnacentral:rRNA from 1 species
UGAGGAAUAUUGGUCAAUGGGCGAGAGCCUGAACCAGCCAUGCCGCGUGCAGGAAGACGGCCCUAUGGGUUGUAAACUGCUUUUGUUUGGGAAUAAAAGGCGCUACGUGUAGUGCACUGAAGGUACCAGAUGAAUAAGCAUCGGCUAACUCCGUGCCAGCAGCCGCGGUAAUACGGAGGAUGCGAGCGUUAUCCGGAUUUAUUAGGUUUAAAGGGUGUGUAGGCGGAAGACUAAGUCAGUGGUGAAAUCCCUCAGCUUAACUGGGGAACUGCCAUAGAUACUGGUUUUCUUGAGUACAGUUGAAGUAGGCGGAAUGUGUAAUGUAGCGGUGAAAUGCUUAGAUAUUACACAGAACACCGAUUGCGAAGGCAGCUUGCUAAGCUGUUACUGACGCUGAUGC